ACAAGACACUUGACUUGAAGGGAAAACUAUCUAGGAUCAUUUUCUUCAAGAGUAAUUUACCCUUACUUAAAUACAGAUUGCUCUACAC
rnacentral:pre_miRNA from 1 species